AAGUCAAUAGUUUCAGGGAUCAUUCCUAUACUAUGUUACUAGAGAAUUGUGGCAGGAAAUGUUGCAUGGAGAUAAUCUUGAAGAUGAGCUGAGGUGUUCUCUUCUGAGAGAUGAAGCUGGUUUGUGGGAUUGCUUUUCAGCAGCUGCCUCCUGCCAUGAAUGACACCUCUUCCCUCUCUUUGGGCUGGGUUUAUCCUCCUC
ensembl:snoRNA U3 Small nucleolar RNA U3